rnacentral:rRNA from 1 species
CGCUAGCUACAGGCUUAACACAUGCAAGUCGAGGGGCAGCAUGGUCUUAGCUUGCUAAGGCCGAUGGCGACCGGCGCACGGGUGAGUAACACGUAUCCAACCUGCCGUCUACUCUUGGACAGCCUUCUGAAAGGAAGAUUAAUACAAGAUGGCAUCAUGAGUCCGCAUGUUCACAUGAUUAAAGGUAUUCCGGUAGACGAUGGGGAUGCGUUCCAUUAGAUAGUAGGCGGGGUAACGGCCCACCUAGUCUUCGAUGGAUAGGGGUUCUGAGAGGAAGGUCCCCCACAUUGGAACUGAGACACGGUCCAAACUCCUACGGGAGGCAGCAGUGAGGAAUAUUGGUCAAUGGGCGAGAGCCUGAACCAGCCAAGUAGCGUGAAGGAUGACUGCCCUAUGGGUUGUAAACUUCUUUUAUAAAGGAAUAAAGUCGGGUAUGGAUACCCGUUUGCAUGUACUUUAUGAAUAAGGAUCGGCUAACUCCGUGCCAGCAGCCGCGGUAAUACGGAGGAUCCGAGCGUUAUCCGGAUUUAUUGGGUUUAAAGGGAGCGUAGAUGGAUGUUUAAGUCAGUUGUGAAAGUUUGCGGCUCAACCGUAAAAUUGCAGUUGAUACUGGAUAUCUUGAGUGCAGUUGAGGCAGGCGGAAUUCGUGGUGUAGCGGUGAAAUGCUUAGAUAUCACGAAGAACUCCGAUUGCGAAGGCAGCCUGCUAAGCUGCAACUGACAUUGAGGCUCGAAAGUGUGGGUAUCAAACAGGAUUAGAUACCCUGGUAGUCCACACGGUAAACGAUGAAUACUCGCUGUUUGCGAUAUACUGCAAGCGGCCAAGCGAAAGCGUUAAGUAUUCCACCUGGGGAGUACGCCGGCAACGGUGAAACUCAAAGGAAUUGACGGGGGCCCGCACAAGCGGAGGAACAUGUGGUUUAAUUCGAUGAUACGCGAGGAACCUUACCCGGGCUUAAAUUGCAGAUGAAUUACGGUGAAAGCCGUAAGCCGCAAGGCAUCUGUGAAGGUGCUGCAUGGUUGUCGUCAGCUCGUGCCGUGAGGUGUCGGCUUAAGUGCCAUAACGAGCGCAACCCUUGUUGUCAGUUACUAACAGGUUCCGCUGAGGACUCUGACAAGACUGCCAUCGUAAGAUGUGAGGAAGGUGGGGAUGACGUCAAAUCAGCACGGCCCUCACGUCCGGGGCUACACACGUGUUACAAUGGGGGGUACAGAGGGCCGCUACCACGCGAGUGGAUGCCAAUCCCCAAAACCUCUCUCAGUUCGGACUGGAGUCUGCAACCCGACUCCACGAAGCUGGAUUCGCUAGUAAUCGCGCAUCAGCCACGGCGCGGUGAAUACGUUCCCGGGCCUUGUACACACCGCCCGUCAAGCCAUGGGAGCCGGGGGUACCUGAAGUGCGUAACCGCGAGGAGCGCCCUAGGGUAAAACUGGUGA